CCUACGGGGGGCAGCAGUGGGGAAUAUUGGACAAUGGGGGCAACCCUGAUCCAGCCAUGCCGCGUGUGUGAAGAAGGCCCUCGGGUUGUAAAGCACUUUCAGUGAGGAAGAACGCCUGGUGGUUAAUACCCAUCAGGAAAGACAUCACUCACAGAAGAAGCACCGGCUAACUCCGUGCCAGCAGCCGCGGUAAUACGGAGGGUGCGAGCGUUAAUCGGAAUUACUGGGCGUAAAGCGCGCGUAGGUGGCUUGAUAAGCCGGGUGUGAAAGCCCCGGGCUCAACCUGGGAACGGCAUCCGGAACUGUCAAGCUAGAGUGCAGGAGAGGAAGGUAGAAUUCCCGGUGUAGCGGUGAAAUGCGUAGAGAUCGGGAGGAAUACCAGUGGCGAAGGCGGCCUUCUGGACUGACACUGACACUGAGGUGCGAAAGCGUGGGUAGCAAACAGGAUUAGAUACCCCAGUAGUC
rnacentral:rRNA from 1 species